rnacentral:lncRNA from 1 species
GAGUAGGGGCCAUGGGAGGCCGAGUCCGAAGCUCAUUCAGAAAAAAAAUUAUUUUAAAAAAAUAUUUUUAGAUAAAAAUAUUUUAAAAAAUAAAAAUUAUAGAAUAAAAUUUAGAUAAAAAAUAUUUUAGAAAAAAUAAAAAAUCAUCGAGUCCUCAGGAUUAGAUUUCGUGUUAUUAUUUUUCGUUAAUAUUAUUUUGCAUGCUCAACUACUUAUA